UCAAACUUGGUCAUUUAGAGGAAGUAAAAGUCGUAACAAGGUUUCCGUAGGUGAACCUGCGGAAGGAUCAUUAGCGAGUUUUGAGGCCCGGGGUAACAGCCGGGCGAACUCCCGUCCUCAUGUCAUGCUGUGAAUUGAAUGGCUUCGGCGGAAGCGUCGGGCCGCGACGUGGAGGGGGCACUGCGCUCCCCGCGUGGCGGCGCGACCGCCGCCGGUCUUACGGCAAGCACGAAUCGUGAUUGUGAGGUCUGAGUUUUGGAAAAUAAGCGAAAAACUUUCAACAACGGAUCUCUUGGCUCUGGCAUCGAUGAAGAACGCAGC
rnacentral:misc_RNA from 1 species